rnacentral:lncRNA from 1 species
GCUGGGCGUGGUGGCGCACGCCUUUAAUCCCAGCACUCGGGAGGCAGAGGCAGGCGGAUUUCUGAGUUCGAGGCCAGCCUGGUCUACAGAGUGAGUUCCAGGACAGCUAAGGCUACACAGAGAAACCCUGUCUCGAAAAAAGCAAAAAGCAAAAAAAAAAAAAAAAAAAUGGGGUUUCUCUGUGUAGCCCCAGCCAUCCUAGAACUAGCUCUGUAGACCAGGCUGGUCUUGAACUCAGAGAUCUACCUGCCU